rnacentral:lncRNA from 10 species
UCCACUGACUUACCCCCACCAGAUCCCCAUGGUUGGCAUCUGCAGGUAUCCUGUGGACAUUUUAGCUUAUGACUUCAAAUCAGGUCUCCUGCCUCUUCAAUCAGUGGCUUUGCUGUGAGACAUGAUGUCCCUGGCUGGCUGGGAACACCUUCACCUGUUACUCAGAAGAGCUCUGCACCAAGUCUGCAUUGCAGGCCAAGAGAAUCUAUCAGGUGCUCAAGAAAUUCAUUCAGAAGUCCAACAUGCAAAAAUUCAUUUAACUUCAAAAGCAUGAUUUUCCUUUCUGACAUAGCCUUUCUACUUUUAGAAACAUAUCUUAAGGAAAUAUGGUCCAAAGAAAAUGUGUAUAAUGAUGUUCAUCAGAAUGAAUUGAAUACCCCAAAAAAUGCAAACAAUUUAGACGUCUAGCAAUGUGGCACUAAGCACAUAAUUUAUAGCCAAUCAGAAACUAUAUUGCCAUUAAAAAUCAUAUCUAUGCUAUAAUCUGAUACAUGUUUAAUAACAUAUUAAUAGCACAUAUUUAACUGGGAAAAAAUUGCAGUAGAUCCAGUUUGCUUAGAUUCCUGAUUCCCCCACCUCAGGGGCCUUGGCUGCUUGCUCAAUGGGAGUCCCAGCUGCUGCCACCAUGACCUAGUUUCCUGCUGCCUCAGCCUCCCCAGGCAAAGGCUGGGCUCAGGCUCAGGCCCCACUGCUCCAUCAAUAAACCCAUAUAGGCCAUGGAACUGCCCACCACUCCCAGGCCCAGAUGAAGCCCUGGGCCAUGGGGUGGGAGCUGGUUUUACCAAUGGCUCCCUGUAGAGGGUGGCAACAAAGCACAGAAAUGCCAGGAAGCCGAUAUACCAUAGGGCAAAAUUUGACCAAUAAGAGGCAAAAGAUCAGAAAGAGGCUUGGAUAAGAAUCCCUCCCUCCCAGUCCCUAACCAACUGUCAAAAGACAGCCAGCUGAGUGUUCCUGCAAAGUUCUUGAAAGCUCAAUAAGGUACCACAUCAUAUUUGGUUUUUGUUUUUUCCUGCCUCCUUCCCUUUCCCCUCACCGUUGUUGCCCUGGGAUUGCACUUCCCAGUAAAGCCUUAGCAAAUAAGCUGGGUGUCUGGACUAAAACAAAAAUCUAAUAAAUAUUAUACAUGUAUAUAUAUACACACACAUGUGUAUGAGGGAGAGAGAGAAUUGGGGUCAUGGAUGAUUUUUAUUUCAUUUUACAUUUUAAAUUUUAAUAAAUUUUAAUAUUACAUUUAUAAUAUUUAAAGUUUAUCCUUAUGAGUGUCAUCCACUGCAAAUUUUAACCACCCCAACAGAGGUAGCCAACUGAGAGCUGGAGAGAACAGUCUUCAAAAUUGUCCUCACUUCUCACACCAAGUGCAAGUUUGAGGAGAUUCCCAAAACCACCCUCAGGUUUGAGAAUUCUCUAGAAGAACUCAUAGAACUCACUGAAAACUGUUACAUUCACGGUUAUCAUUUACUACAGAUAAAGGAUACAAAGUAAAAUCAGCCAAGGAAAGAGGAUCCUGAGCAGAGUGAAGGAAAAGUCCCUUCAAGUGUGGAAUUUCUGUUGUCCUCGCCCUGUGGACUUGUGGACAUGCACACUGUGUGAUGAAGAUAUACACAAAGUAUUGCCAGUUAGGGAUGCUGACCCAUGUCUCAGUGUCCAGAGUUCUUACUGGGACUCCAUCGUGUAGGCAUGAGUGGUUGUCCAUGUAGCUGUGAUCUCAGUCUCUAGCUCCCUGGAGGUCGACUGAUAACAUGUGGCUCAAAGCUCCCAGCCUACAUCACAUUGUACUCUCUGGCUUAGCCUGAGGCUCCCAGGUAAACAAAGACACUUGCAGCAGGCAUGGCAUUCCAAGGGCUUAGAGAUGACCUCCUGGAAGCUGAGGCCAGGCCUAUUUUGGGGCAUCAUUAAACUCUACACUACACAACCCUUUAAAAUUCCUCACUGGUCCUCCACUAUCUUCACAUCAAAGGCAAAUCUUUGCAGACCUCUCUAUGAUCUGGCCAUCUCUUUGGUCAUGUGCCUCCUUCCCUCAGCCCACACGUGUCCCUCUCUUUCCAUCAUGGGCAGUUGUAUGUUCAAGCUGUCUCUUGUUUCCAAGCCCUUGCACAGUCUAUUUCCUUUGCCUGGAAACCUGGCUAAUCCCAGCUCAGGCUUUGACACACUAAGGGUCUGCAUGCUAAGCCUGGGAUUCUUAGACCCAUAAGACUCUCUUCUUCCCAGUAGGCCAUUUCUCAGGCAGCAGCUCUCAUGAGGUGAUUUUUAAAAAAAUAUUGUUUAUUUGGGGAAAAUAAUACCAGAAAGCAAAACAGUGCUGGUGACGGAAGCAAAACAUCUAAGAAAGGAUGGUUCUUGGCUAGAAGGUGGAAGUGUGGGAUAGAUUAAAGAGGAAAAUGUUGGACAUGGCAGAGCUCCAUUUCUACACCUGUUAUGACUUUACUCUUUUUCUGGAAAAGCAAUUCAUGAGUUGAUUCAACAAGAAGUCCUACCACUGCAAAAAUUAUAGAUUGAGUUAAAGAACAAACUUUAGUGGUAUUUAAAAUAACAGUUAACUUAUGGUAUGUCAAUAUGCAGAGAAAACAUGUGAUGGUCGAUGGACUUCAAUAAUCUGUUUACUUAACAAAGUCUUCUUAAAACCCCUUGUUUUAGGUAUUUCCCCAAGCUCUUUAUAAAUCACUUUCCAAAUUACUUAUUACUCCUCUGAGCAAUUCUAUAAGGUUAGUUCUCUAAAUGUCCUCCAUUUCAUAUGAGGAAACUGACUCACAGAGAAUUUAAGUAACUUGCCCAGGGUCACACCGCCUGUAAGUAGGAAACCCAGAUGGACAUAUGCGUUCUGAUUCUACAGUAAUGUUAAAACCCUAGAUACGAACGCCAAGACACCAGGAAGUGAGAUUCAUUUGUUCACAGCUAUAUUCCCUGUUAUUAACAUAGUUUUUGAUCACUAAUAGAUAAUCAAAGGUUUGUUAAGAAGAUUAAACAUUUUUAAAUGUCCAUUUAUUAAUUAAUCACACUGAUGGUCUAAUAUGUGGAACAUUUAAUAGACAUUUGAAGAUAUUAAAUUAUUUGCCCAGGUAAAAGGAUUCCAUAAUUUUGAAAAUGUCUUGUGGAUGUGAGGGAAAGUAAAUGAGUUAGACUCAGGGAAGGGAUUCAUGCAAAGGAAAAGUCUGAGAGCCCACUCCUUCUAGCAAGUAAGUGCUGGCAGAUGGCUUUCCAGCGUGAAUAUAGCUAGGAUACAAUUAAAUAAAUUGCUUGUUGAAUUCUUGAGUAUACAGUCAGGUUGUUAAUCAAGGCCCAUAAAGCUUAGGUCAAGAGAAUCACAGAAUUUCAAAGAUGCAACUGACCUUAGAGGUCAUCACAUUUAAUUUUCUCAUUUUGCCUGCGAUUUUCACAAAAAGAAACCAAGACCUAGCAUAUCCAAGUGGCUGGCUCAUGACGCUCCCUUUACGUAGAAAUUGCCUCCCUCCCCUCCCCAGGGCAUCCUGGUCUAAUACAUCCUACAAGGCUCUUCUCAACUCUCGUCUACCACAUGUGGUCUUUCCUGUACCCACAAAACCAUGAGAAGCCAUCUUAUCUCCUUCUAUCUCCCAUAACACACAGUUUGUAGUGCUCUUUAAUUAGUUAUUUUCAACAGCUGAGUAUGUGUUUAAUUUCCCCAGAUAGGUGUAAGGCUAAACAAUUAUUUGUGGAGUGAAUGACUGCACACUCCAUGCUGUCUGGCACUGCAGCGCACACCUGGUUUCAUACUCAAUGACAUGCCAGCUCAGGCACUUGCCCAGGGAUGGGGCCCAGAGAAUGCUUUGUGUGCGAACUUUCACUUAUCUGGGAAGUAGGUCACUGUGGCUAACAUCCCAAGCUCUAGAACAGACUGCCUGGAUUCACUCCUUUUUUCCAUCAUUAACUAGCUGAGUUAUUUUUAGGCAUUUGCUGCAUUUCACUGUCCUCUUGGUCUGUAAAUGGGGAUAAUAACAGUCCCUACCUCAUAGGGCUUUCAUGAGGAUUAAGUGGAUGAUGUUAUUAUGUAAAGCACUUAGAACAGUAUUUAGCACAAUGCAAGUGUUCAAUAGAUGCUAGCAAAUAUAAUUAUUAAUUUCUUGUUGUGUCUAGAAUAAAGCCUGGCAUAUAGUACGUGUAUAAUACAUGGUACCUGCUAUUCAUUCCCUUGGCAUCUGGAAUCUGUCACUAACCUUCAGAAAAGAAAAUUUCAAAUUAUCAGAAGGACAAAGAAUUCAGAAUAGACUAAUGAAACUGUACCUCAGACAGUAGUCAAAUAACCAGGCAAGGGGUAGAAAGGCCCAUCUGCGCAGGAAGAAAUGUGUAUAACUACUACAGACUUUAAAAUUCCAUAAAGUUGCAUGAGCAAUUAAAACACAUUAGGGACCAAUUCCAUAUUUGCUCCCAGAAUGAAAUAGCAUAAUUGUGUCGCUACACUAAUAUCAUCAUUUCCAUUUAGCUGAAAGAGUUCUCAGGUCAUAAACACAAUGGUUUUUCAUUCUACCAUGGCCAACUGCUAUGAGCAUAACGGAGUCCUAAUGACCCAGCCAGCUUAAUCAAAGCAAGGAAUUUUCUUUCCAGAAGCUUCUGUCAUGUGAAUUGUAUGAUCUUAACUUAAAAUUAUGGCACUGCCCAAACACAAAGCAAUAUUCAUUCACCUUUAUGAAGCUCUUGGCUCUGAAGAUUUAAAACACUCUGAGCCAAGUACUUAGAAUUCAGGGAAACAAGAGUUUCAUCAGAGUUACAUCAUGGGGUGAUAAUACUUACGAAGAACUGAUCAUCUUUCCUGCCCUGUAACCACAUUUCACAGAUGACGAAGAAGGAUUUCACCUUCUGCCUUUGACAUCAGCAUCUUUUCUCACAUUAUAAAUAUUAGUCUCAGGCUCUUGUGGGCCCUGGUAAAAUGACAAGAUGCCCAAAUUUGUCAUGUUUCUUCCUCAUUUUUAUAUUUCCCAAAUUUUGGCAAAUGUCUAACCAACAGCCUUGCCAACAGCCAUGGGGUCAGUGAGACCUAAGAGAUGGCCACAUCCUCUACUUCUUCCUUACAUCAGGCUCUGAUAUAACAGCUAAAUAUGUGACUUUGGGAAGGUCUUGAAGUCCAAGUUUACAAUUCUGCUUGGCAUGUGAGCAGCACUUGCUGUUGAAAGACAGAAAGAGAAGUGCUUGUCAGAAAUAACUUCUUUAACAGGACAUUUCUUGAAAAGAAAUAAGACCAUUUAAUCCCAUUGUUAAGCUAUACUAUAAGGGUCACUGCCUUCUUCUCAGGUAGGAAAAUUUCAUUACAAGAGACAUUCUUGAUGUAUGUCGGUCUGAAUUUUAUUUGAAGAUAAUUCUGCACUUGUAGAAAAUCUCUUUCUUCUUCCUUGAAGAAAAAGCAGCCCUGCUGUACUCUGCCACUCUUGCUAAACAGGAGGGAUGUCACGAAUUGCUUUGGAGUUUGACAGGAACCUGAACUUCCAUAUGACCCAGCAAUCCCAUUUCCAGGUGUUUGCCCUAGGAAAAAAAGAAAACACACAGUUA